AGUCCACGCGAGAUUCUGCCUCCACUGCAUCCCCUCCAGUGCCGCGAGAUAACAGUUAUUGGUCCGCCAAAUCAGGUUCAUUCGCGCAAGUGGAAGAACUGCUCGGUCAUCGCACCGUGCUCCCGUGCCGUGUUAUCGCCGCAGCAAACGCAGCAGGUUCCAGCGGGGCCAGCCUCAAACGGCAGCCGCAGCUCUUGUGAUUAAGUGGUGUCUAGGCAACCCGGAAGAACUUGAACGGUUCCAGCAGGAUUUACGACAAUCCACAGCAAACGGGGGCAAUAUGGGAAAAGUGGCCAAGAGCAACGAUGGUUAUCAGCGCGGUGCGUACGGGGCACUGCGGACCCUGAUGCACUUCAUCGCCGCCAUACAGUUUACCUACAGCGUUUACUACGAUUUUCGAUACGUGCACUUUCCUCCGGAGCUGAAACGUGGCCCCGGCGCGGACUUUGGUGGAAAGCUUAAGUUUCUUACCGUGUGGGAUGCGAUACUGCAAGCGGUCUACUUUACGAUUUGCCUGCUGAACGAUUUCAUCGGUACGAACGAGGUGGCCCCGAAGCGGAUGCCACUGAUACGCAAGGUGAAAGAUUACACGCUAGCCGCGUUCGCCUUCCCGGUAGCGUUGAACGUUGGCGUCACCUUCUGGACGUUGAUGGCCAUCGACCGGGAGCUUGUCUUCCCGAAAGCUCUGGACGCCGUCUUUCCCGGCUGGUUGAACCAUGUCAUGCACACCAACAUCGUGAUCUUCAUGGUGCUGGAGAUUUGUACCAGCUUCCGGCAGUAUCCGUCGCGUCGUGCCGGUCUCACCGGGCUCGGUAUCUUCAUGUCGGCCUAUCUGGGCUGGCUGCACGUUAUUCAUCACUACGGUGGCAUCUGGGUGUACCCGGUGCUGGAGGUACUGAACAUGCCGCAGCGUAUCGCCUUCUUCGCCGUUUCGCUGGCCUUCUGCGUUGGGCUGUAUUUGCUCGGUGAAUUCUUCAACAAUCUCAUCUGGACGAAGGAACUGAAGCAGCUCAAGAGCGCGACCUCGGCGGGUGGUGCGAGUAAGAAGUCCAAAUAAGAAGCCCCCUACCAGCGAAGGGCUUUUGUUUUGUGCGUGAUAGGAGCGGGAAGUUUGGCUGGAUAAGAUGCAUGAAUAUGAUUCCGAAGGAAGGAAUCCUAAUCAAAUCCCAGCUGGCGGCUUUUUCAUCGUCUCGUCGCCAAUCGCGACAGGCAACGAGGGCGAGUGUGCUGUGUGUUUGCUGUGUGCGCGUUCUGUGUGUCCGUUGGGUCAAAAUGCUCAUCCCUGCUCAUCUACUAGAGAGCAUCUAACCUUCAUUUACCUCAUCCUGGUUUUAAAUUAAACUCCGACUUUAGCCUAAUGCCGUGCAUCCCACAAGAGGACUACUACUUAAGAGUGGAUGCGCAGAGUGCAUCGCUAUCAUCCUGUGCGUGUUGUUUGUAGUGUAGUCAUGAUAUUGAAAAUAUGCAUGGUAUCCACGCCAUGUGAAAACCCAACCGAACAGCAAGCAUUCAUGGACAUUGUGUAGUGUCUGCGUGCUUAGCCCUUACGUUUUUCCGUUUCUCUGCAACACCCUUAGGAGAAGGGAAACAAAUAGGAAGGUAGUUCCCAAACGGCAAACUAGCAUACAGACCGUGGCUCACAGUGGAGCACAGAGAACCACAGAGAGGCUCUCCCAACAAAACGAUGAUAUUCGACUGGACGCUGCAGGCAGAUAUUAGGCUCUUUGUAUGAUGACGUGAUGGCCAGGCAGGAUCAAUAUUUAUUGUUUUAAAGUCGACCAAAGCACAGUGUAGACCACUUAAAGGCAUUUAGGGAAAUGAUAACAAAAUCAAUUAUGAACAAUUAAUGGCGUACAUUGUGCACUGAUGCUUCUUUACAUUCACGAUUAACGUUCGAUGUGGAUACUCAAAUCCAAUGCCGAGGGAAGCUACGUAGCUUGGGGAUAAUACAAUUUUUAAUCAUCGUCAUUUAGGUGUGCAUUUAUAUUCUUCGUCUGUUUUGAGCGUCUCGCAGCACAGUUGCCAGAAGGUACCACCGGGCUAGCUCCGGAAACCUUUAAGCUAAAACGCACUAUUUAUUCCAAUCUGCUGGCACGCAUCUACGGUUGGUCCAGCACCAGCUACUGAAAGGGGGAAACGGUCCAUUCAAUUUCAAACAACUUUAUACGGUGAAGGUACUGCUUUUGUUUUCAUUUAGCUAAUUAUUUAGAGGAGGGGGACACGGUAUCUCGAAAGGAUCGCUAUAGGAUGGACUGUCUCAAAUUAGCAUAAAGCCUGGUGCUCUAAAAGGUGAAAGGAGAAAACAUUUCACAAGAUAGAAAAAAGGGUUUUUUUUGGUUCCGAUUGCUCUACCGCAUACAUUACAUUGUAAUCAUUGUAUCUAGAUGUACUACGUUAUGUGAGUGUAAUAUUCUAGCUGUAAACUUUGUCGCCACAUACACGAUCCGUAGAUAGCGAAAUGAUAUAAAUAUUAGAUUCCGACCAAACCACGAAACCCG